AUGGAUUUCAUGGUCAUCUA
rnacentral:siRNA from 1 species